rnacentral:rRNA from 1 species
AUGAACGCUGGCGGCGUGCCUAAUACAUGCAAGUCGAACGAACUUCCGUUAAUUGAUUAUGACGUACUUGUACUGAUUGAGAUUUUAACACGAAGUGAGUGGCGAACGGGUGAGUAACACGUGGGUAACCUGCCCAGAAGUAGGGGAUAACACCUGGAAACAGAUGCUAAUACCGUAUAACAGAGAAAACCGCAUGGUUUUCUUUUAAAGAUGGCUCUGCUAUCACUUCUGGAUGGACCCGCGGCGUAUUAGCUAGUUGGUGAGGUAAAGGCUCACCAAGGCAGUGAUACGUAGCCGACCUGAGAGGGUAAUCGGCCACAUUGGGACUGAGACAGAUCCUCUAA